rnacentral:tRNA from 1 species
GCCGGGGUGGCAGAGCGGACUAACGCGGCAGGCUCGAGACCUGUUUCUCCUAACGGAGUGCUUGGGUUCAAAUCCCAACCCCGGCG